CAGCCGCCGCGGGAAAACGUAGGGUGCGAGCGUUAAUCGGAAUUACUGGGCGUAAAGCGUGCGCAGGCGGUUGUGUAAGACGGGUGUGAAAUCCCCGGGCUUAACCUGGGAACUGCGCUUGUGACUGCACAGCUAGAGUAUGGCAGAGGGGGGUGGAAUUCCACGUGUAGCAGUGAAAUGCGUAGAGAUGUGGAGGAACACCGAUGGCGAAGGCAGCCCCCUGGGCCAAUACUGACGCUCAUGCACGAAAGCGUGGGGAGCAAACAGGAUUAGAUACCCCAGUAGUCCCUGUCUCUUAUAU
rnacentral:rRNA from 1 species